AUAUACUGAAUAUUGAAUGAAUAUAUAGACACAACCAUAGUUUCAGUCAUACUCUAAAUUAAUCAUUUUGGAGGUUUUACAUCAAUAUUACAGAAACGUUAUUGAAAUUGAUUGUACUUAUGUUUUUAAGACACCACUUUCUUGAGUAGCACCAUGGCUGCCUCUAACGCUAGCACCAAAGCAGGUUAGAAUUGUGGGGUUUUUUUUUUUUAUCGGUGGAAUAUGAUCAGUAGGUAGUAAUUUUGUCAUCAUGUUUCAAGUUCUUUUUCUAAUUGAAGAGUUACUUUAGUUCAAACUGUAAAAAAUAUUCAUGCUGACGGCGUUAGAAAAGUGUCUUACACAGUUUCACAACUAUUUUUGAAAUAAUAAACACAUGCAAUCAUAGUUUGAGUCAUGCACUUAAUUCAACAUAUUGUUUCAGACAGUUCAGCAAAGUUUUUAAAAUUGUUUGUACUCAUUAUUUUAAGACACCACCUUGCUGAGUAGCAUGAUGGCUUCCUCUACAGCUAGCACCAAAGCAGACCCAUUUUCCUUGGAAAACAUUAAUGGUAACUCUACAGCUAGCACUAUAGCAGGUGAGAAUUAUGUUCCUAUCAAUGGAAUUUUAGCACUAUUUCAUAAUGUUUCUGUCCUAGUAAACCAUCAAGACUGUCAAACUUGAAAAUAUACUGAAAA
rnacentral:lncRNA from 1 species